rnacentral:tRNA from 1 species
GCGGGCGUGAUGGAAUGGUAGACAUACGGGACCUAAAAUCCGGAGGGCUUACACCCGUGCGGGUUCGAGUCCCGCCGCCCGCACCA